rnacentral:rRNA from 1 species
CCACUGUCCUACGGGAGGCAGCAGUGGGGAAUCUUGCACAAUGGGGGAAACCCUGAUGCAGCGACGCCGCGUGAGCGAUGAAGCCCUUCGGGGUGUAAAGCUCUUUCGACGGGAACGAUAAUGACGGUACCCGAAGAAGAAGCUGCGGCUAACUACGUGCCAGCAGCCGCGGUAAUACGUAGGCAGCAAGCGUUGUUCGGAAUUACUGGGCGUAAAGAGUGUGUAGGCGGUUCUCUAAGUUUGGUGUGAAAUCUCCCGGCUUAACUGGGAGGGUGCGCCGGAAACUGGAGUGCUCGAGGAUGGGAGAGGAAAGCGGAAUUCCUGGUGUAGCGGUGAAAUGCGUAGAUAUCAGGAGGAACACCUGUGGUGUAGACAGCUUUCUGGACCAUCACUGACGCUGAGACACGAAAGCGUGGGUAGCAAACAGGAUUAGAUACCCUAGUAGUCC